AAUGAAAUAUUAACUGUUUCAUAAAAAUUAUAAAUAAAAUUUUAUUUUUUAGUUAAAAAGCUAAAAUAAAAUUAAAAGACGAGAAGACCCUAUAAAUCUUUAUAUUUUAGUAAUUUUAAUUAUUUAGAUUAAUUAAAUUAUAAUUAUUUAAAAUAUUUUAUUGGGGUGAUAUUAAAAUUUAAUAAACUUUUAAUUUAUUAUUAACAUUAAUUAAUGAAUUAUUGAUCCAUUUAUUAUGAUUAAAAAAUUAAGUUACUUUAGGGAUAACAGCGUAAUUUUUUUAGAGAGUUCAUAUUGAUAAAAA
rnacentral:rRNA from 1 species